GCGGGGGAGGGGCAAAAAAGACCCGACAAGAUAACCUCUUUUUUGGCUAUGGAGAUUGCCCUGUUGGAUGUAACCAUCGACACAUCCCAUUCCGGGACCACUAGUGUCUUAAGUAUGAGGUUAGACUGUUUCAGGUUGAAGACAAUAUUAGGAAUGGCAGAGUGGGCUUAUACAAGUAAAUGAUAUUCUUUGUAUUAUCCUCGAGCUGUUUUUCUUACUACACCAAAGACCCUACCUCUGGACUUCCAACUAUGCAUUCGUAAGCUCUCAAAAGAAGACAUUCAUGCAGCCAACAAACAUAUGAAAGAAGGCUCAACAUCACUGAUCAUUAGAGAAACGCAAAUCAAAACCACAAUGAGAUACCAUCUCACACCACUCAGAAUGGCGAUUAUUAAAAAGUCCAGAAACAACAAUAUCUCCAUCCUCCUCCUGAAAAACAAACCUUUUAUNNNNNNNNNNNNNNNNNNNUCCA
rnacentral:lncRNA from 1 species